UACGAGGGGGGCAAGUGUUGUUCGGAAUCACUGGGCGUAAAGGGAGCGUAGGCGGGCUCUUAAGUUGGAUGUUUAAAACCGGGGCCCAACCCCGGCGUGGCAUCCAAAACUGGGAGUCUUGAAUGGAACAGAGGCUAGUGGAAUUGGAGGUGUAGCGGUGGAAUGCGUAGAGAUCUCCAAGAACACCCGUUGCGAAGGCGGCUAGCUGGGUUCACAUUGACGCUGAGGCUCGAAAGCGUGGGGAGCAAACAGG
rnacentral:rRNA from 1 species